UUCUUCUAGUCUCUCAUAGAAACUUCUGGCCUCUGGACACUGUGGGAGCAACUUUUCCUUUAUUAGACUGUCUCCUCUUUAACUGAAGAUACUUUAGCACAGCAAGCAUCUCUUUUAUGCUUACAUUAUGCAGUUAUGCAGACUUGGUGUACGUCCUUCAAGGACAGUCUAAGAAUCUUUGAUUCUAUUUCUGCUGGAUACAUUGUUGCAGAGAUGUAAGAAGGAAGGACUUAGAAAAGUAUGCUAUAAGAAUUGAAUGCUCAGAGGCAAGCUAACUUCACAAGGAGAAAAGAAAGAUGGAAACAGCCUAGACAAACUCAAAUCAAGUCCAGGAGACUUACGCUAGAGUUGCUUUUUCUAAUAGAAGAGACCAGUGUGCAAUUGUGAAUUGUGAUGCUGAGGCAAGCCCCAAGGAUGAAGAGAAUUAAAUAGAGGAGGAAGAGAAGAGGAGAUAGACCAGUGCAAUGGACCUCAUAACCACAUACAAUCUAGUUUUAUGGGGAAACUCCUUGUAUAAAAGAAUAUUGCAGCAUGACUGGGAAGCCUGUCCUUCAUUACUUCAAUUGAAGAAGAAGAAUGGAGUCCAUCCGGUGGCUCCUGGCAGCAGCUGGAGUAGAGUUUGAGGAAGAACUUUUUGAAACCCAUGAAGAGUUUGAGAAGUUAAUCCAAGGUGGAACCCUGAUGUACGAGCAAGUGCCCAUGGUGGAAAUCGAUGGAAUGACUUUGGUGCAGACCAGUGCCAUCUUAAGAUAUGUAGCUGCAAAAUAUGACUUGUAUGGAAGGAACCUGGAGGAACAAGCCUGAAGAGAAGGAGAUGAACCUUGAAUACAUCCUCCACCGAGCUACAACAAGAUUCUUCCCCGUUUAUGAGAAGGCCCUGAGAGACCACGGGCAAGACUUUCUUGUGGGCAAUCGGCUGAGCUUGGCUGAUGUCCAGCUCCUUGAAGUCAUCUUAAUGGCUGAAGAAUGCAAAGCCAGUGUUCUCUCGGGUUUCCCUCUGCUACAGGACUUCAAGGUGAGAACCAGCCAAAUUCCUACAAUUAACAGCUUCCUCCAACCUGGAAGCCAGAGGAAGCCUCCUUUGGAGGAGCGAUCCAUUGGGACUGCAAAGGACAUAUUCAAAUUUGAAUGAGGACUGUUUCUUAAAAACAUGAGCAAUAUAGUAGCUGAGUAUUAACAGCUACAGAGGCUGGAGUUACUCAGUAAGUAUACUGAGUAACUUGACACUGCAUUCAUAAAAAGACACUCACUAAGUAUAUGGCCAGAGAAAUAUCCUGAAGUUAGUAAUAAAUGUUAGGAAUCUUAGUAUGUUAGCAAUGUUAGAAUGUUAGUAAUGGAAAUAUUAAAUGUGUAAGAGAAAAACUACUAGAAGCUUAUCAAUAAACUACAAGAACCAACUCUUGUUUGAAGUAAGACAGGCUACCAAGACAGAAUUCAGAAAAUCCAAGGAGCCCUCGGCCUUCUGUAUGAUCCUAGAAUAAACUUGUAUGUAGCAAGUGAAA
rnacentral:lncRNA from 1 species